UACGUAGGGUGCGAGCGUUGUCCGGAAUUACUGGGCGUAAAGAGCUCGUAGGUGGUUUGUCGCGUUGUUCGUGAAAACUCACAGCUCAACUGUGGGCGUGCGGGCGAUACGGGCAGACUGGAGUACUGCAGGGGAGACUGGAAUUCCUGGUGUAGCGGUGGAAUGCGUAGAUAUCGGGAGGAGCAUCGAUGGCGAAGGCAAUCACCUGGGCCUGAACUGACACUGUGACACGAAAGCGUGGGUAGCAAACAGG
rnacentral:rRNA from 1 species